rnacentral:piRNA from 1 species
UGAUAUUUCUAGCUACGGUUUGCCCUAU